rnacentral:rRNA from 1 species
GACGAACGCUGGCGGCGUGCCUAAUACAUGCCAGUCGAGCGGACGGAUGGGAGCUUGCUCCCAGACCGUCAGCGGCGGACGGGUGAGUAACACGUGGGCAACCUGCCUGUAAGACUGGGAUAGCUCCGGGAAACCGGGGCUAAUACCGGAUAACUCUUUCCCUCACAUGAGGGAAAGCUGAAAGAUGGCAUCUCGCUAUCACUUACAGAUGGGCCCGCGGCGCAUUAGCUAGUUGGUGAGGUAACGGCUCACCAAGGCGACGAUGCGUAGCCGACCUGAGAGGGUGAUCGGCCACACUGGGACUGAGACACGGCCCAGACUCCUACGGGAGGCAGCAGUAGGGAAUCUUCCGCAAUGGACGAAAGUCUGACGGAGCAACGCCGCGUGAGUGAUGAAGGUUUUCGGAUCGUAAAACUCUGUUGUCAGGGAAGAACAAGUACCGGAGUAACUGCCGGUACCUUGACGGUACCUGACCAGAAAGCCACGGCUAACUACGUG